rfam:Gossypium arboreum cultivar AKA8401 contig_2853_1, whole genome shotgun sequence.
AUCCCAUUAUGAGGACACUUACGAAGUAAUUCCUUAAAUCUUUCCUACACAUCGUACAAGGAUUUUUCAUCCAAUUGUGAAAAAAUGGUUAUCUCGUUUCACAACUU